rnacentral:rRNA from 1 species
GACAGAGGGUGCAAACGUUGUUCGGAAUUACUGGGCGUAAAGCGCGUGUAGGCGGCCAUGCAAGUCGGAUGUGAAAGCCCUCGGCUCAACCGGGGAAGUGCACCCGAAACUGCAAGGCUAGAGUCUCGGAGAGGAUCGUGGAAUUCUCGGUGUAGAGGUGAAAUUCGUAGAUAUCGAGAGGAACACCUGAGGUGAAGACGGGUUGCUGGGCCAACACUGACGCUGAGGCGCGAAAGCCAGGGGAGCAAACGGG